rnacentral:misc_RNA from 1 species
AAGUCGUAACAAGGUCUCCGUAGGUGAACCUGCGGAGGGAUCAUUAACAUAAAAUUAUCAUUACACACAUAUAUACAUAUGUGUUGUAUAUACUACUGUGAACAUACAAUCAACAAACAACAACAGGGAUUUGUACACUAUGUAUAUUGUUAUAUGUAGUAUACAUUCCCGACUUUUUUUACUACCCCAUAUACUAUACUAUAUAUAUCUACAUAAUGUAUUGUAUGUAAUACAAAUUAUGUAUAUUAUAACUCUUUAUCACUCCUAGCAACGGAUAUCUAGGUUCUC